GUGUCAGCGAUGUAUCAGAGCCGGCUGUGGAUGGAGACAGAACCGCUGCUCCUGGGGCAGUGAUCCAAUCCAGAAGGAAAGCAUUUGUGAAAACAUGGAGUUUGGGAAAAACUUUUUUAAACCAGAGAUCUCCUCCGUUUCUCCCAGCGUUGUGUCUUUCUAUGGCAGAAAUCAUGCUGUGCUGUCAGGUCAUUACCUCAGAGAUGUGACCAGAGUCAGGAUUCAGGACAACAUGGGCUGUGACACAAAG